GUAGGGAGCUCGGCUGUGGGGCUCCUUCAGUCUUCAAGGGGGUGCUCUAUGGAGAAGUGGAGGCUCCAAUGUGGACCAAAGAGUUCCAGUGUGGAGGCCAUGAGUCUGCUCUCCUGGACUGUAGAAGCUCGGGCUCAGCUAGAAACACCUGCUCACCUUGAAAAGCGGUUGGACUCACCUGCUCAGAGCCUGUCAGGGUGGUGGGAGGAGACUGUCACUGUGCAGGAACACUGGAACUGAAACAUAAUGGUGAAUGGAGACCAGUGAUUGGCUCUGACUGGACCCUGAAGGAAGCAGCUGUUACCUGCAGAAGUCUGGACUGUGGCUCUGCUGUUUCUGUAGAACGGAGAAAAGAAUAGUCUUACAGAUCUGUCUGGAUGAUCAGCUAUGACUGUGUUCAGUCCAGAUUUGCUCUGAGGGACUGUGCAAAAUCACGGUCCUCUUCUGACAGCCUUCAUCUCACCUGUUCAGGCCUGCAGGGGGCAGAAGCCGGGCAGACAGGAGAACAUUGAGCUGGAUGAUAACCUGGGUGUUCCUGCAGCUGGAGGAGGGCCGACUGAAGAGGAAGGUGCUCAGGGAGGUCCUCUCACAUCCACAUGGAUUUCACAGCUGUCAGACAACCAUCAGCUCAGUCGAGGAUUUUACAUUUUUAUACUCAUAUCUGAAAUUAUUAUAUAACAUUAUAUCUGUAUUACUCUGAAGAUGAAAAGACCAAAAACAACAACAUGUUACCCUGUCUCUCAAUACUUUCUGACUUCCUGUCUGUGGCUCUCAGCUCCAACCCUGUUUGUUCCUACUGAAGACGUAAAUCUUAAAAAACCUCACAAAUAUAGUUUCAUUAGAAAACUAGACUUGAAAGCAGGAAUACUGAGAUCCAAAUACCACCAACCAUCAAAACCAAAGACACACUGACCCAGGCUGGCUGGGAAUUUGGGAGUGUUGGUAAUUGUGGAACAAUGUUGGCCAAGUAAUGUUAAAUAUUAAAUUAAAAUAAAAGUGAAAUGAAGUCAUAUCCACUUAAUCUGGUGUUACAAUACUCGAUCAAAUUAAGUGACAUUUGAACAAUUGAGAUAAGAGGAAAAACUUCAGGACGACCUGCUGUCGAGUUUGGAAUCCCAGUAAUGGAAAGCUCAGUCAAAGUCAACGUCUCUUCAAAUAAUCAGGCAGCCCUAUGAUGGAUGCCAUUGUGUUCAGUAGUGCAGUGGUUACAGUGCUGGUCCAUACACCCUCUGUGAACUGCAGAGACGUUCAUUUGACUCCUCAUUGCUCUGCUUUGAGUGUUUGUGGCAAUUCAUUUUAGGCAAAAUAACUCAUGAAUCAUUAAGAGUAGAAACUUUUUUUAACAAUGGGUUCCUUGGAAUACGUAAAUAUGACGGAUAUAGGCACCAAUAAAACACCAGUUUUGAUGGCUAUGAACCCGUCAGACAAACAUUGAAUUGAAUUGAAUUGAAUUUAAAACGAAAAGAAAAAGUAUUUGUUGGGAAAAUGGGUACUAAAAACAUUUUUUGGAUCUGUAAUAGCAGAUUCCUUACAAAACAAAUACAAAGCUGAUGAGUUCCAGUACUACCAGGAUCACUGGCAUGUGAUGCCCAAUAUUGAACACUAGAUGGUGGUGUAGGUGUGGCUGACAAAUGAGACUUGAAUGAAUGCAAGUUCUCUUACAGCUGGAUUAAAUAAACAAACGCAGCACAUUUACAGUUACGGAUAGGAGAUACAGAUAUAAAGAAACAGAAGCAAAGCUAUUAGGGCUCAUUGUUGAAUUGAUCUGCUGUUAUUCUACUGUUUCUAAAAGUAAUAAUAUUACUUUUUAUUAUACCCCAAAUUAUUGUAGGUAGGGAGUAAGUAAUACUCCCUACCUACAAUAAUUAGUUACACUACUAACUACUUUUCUGCUACUCCCCACAAAACUGGUAAUUGUGUCCUUUCAAUUAAAAUCCAGUUUUGAUUAUUAAAAUCUAAGUAACGUGAAUAUUUGCAGAUGCUGAAUCUUCCAAACUAGUUUCUUCCACAAUUACAAAGUUUUCAACUUGCUAGUUUUUGAUCAUAAGUAAUGUAAUAUGCAGCUGUCCAUGUUAGCACAGUACGCAACUGACUGAAUGCUUAAGUAGCUGAAAAAUAAAAUGUAUUCCACUAACCACUGUUCUUAACUGAAACCGUCAUAUUUAAACCAUUUAAGGAGUUAACUGUCCUUUACACAAAUGAAUAGUUGUACAUUUAAAGUGAAUCGUGGAGGUUCAUAUGUUACUCAGGAAUUAAUUUUGCUGCUUCAUGAAGUUCAUUUAGAACAAUGCACCGGACUGCAAUCUUUACCUUGUUCCCACACAGACACACACACAUACUGGAGAGUUAGCCUCUCUGAGCCGCUAGCUUAGCUUCAACACAGCCACUAGCUUAGCUAUAAACAGGUAGCAGACAGAAACUUUUACAAACAAUGUGAAUGUGCUAAAAGCUCCAGUGGACCCUGAGCACAGACACAGAGAGUCUGACAGCAGCUGCUAAUGGCCAGUUACCUCUGUUAGCUUUGUUAGCUCUGUUAGUGCUGACUACCAGCUUGCUGUUCCUGCUACGAUGCCGUGGUCAGUCUGUCAAUCACUGUGGUCGGUGUCGAGAGUAAAUAUGCUGGAAAUUUUCAUUUCAGCAACCAUGUUUUUCUCUCUGAAUUACAUACAAGACAUGAAAAUGAAACAAUUUGCCCUAAAUGUUCGGUUUGUGUAUGAUCUCCAGACAAAUGUUUGCAAAUAGCACCCCAACCUUUAAAUGAACAAGAACAAUACAAUGAGUAUAAGCAGGGUAAUGACUGACCAGUGUAUAGAUAUUUCAAUCUAUAAUGCUUUAAGGGCUCUAAACGUGUUGAUGUUCUAAAGUUGCAAUUUUUGCAUGACCAUCUCAUAACAUAGGAGGCCUGCUGUUCUCCCUGAUGACACAAAUGUUGAAACCCAUCAAUCUGUCCUCCCUCAACUGUCCUCAACUAUCCACUGUAUUGGCUCGUCCUAAGAAAUGGGUCCCUCUGUAAUUAACAGACACAAUUUGUGAUAUUAAAACAAUGAUUUUUAAAAUAUUUACCCACAAUUUUAUAUUGCAUCAAGAAUAGGGAAAAACAACAUUAUGUCAUGCAUACACAGAUUUCUACUUACCUAAAUGAGAUGAAUGUUGUACCACAGACCAGUCACUUCUUCUACUAAGCCCUCAAUUUACACUGCAGUGGCUCCUCCAGCAGCAUAUCCUGGACCUGACACCACAACUCAGUGCUGUACUGUUCUGCUUCCUGUAAAUUGAAACAUAUAUUUAUAGACUUAACAACAAAAUACAGAUGAAAUUAUAUGCGUAUGAGAAGAAAUAACUUAACUGACAAGACUGGACUUGCAUGAGAGGCUUUCUGUUCAAUAUUCAAUCAAGUUAAAUAUACCAAGAUAUUUUUCUACCGGCGAGUCUCCUUUGCUUGCUGGCACUCCACACAGGCAGCAGCCCAGGCCCUGACGUCCCUCUGCAGGCCCGGCCAGACAAACUUGGCCCCCACCAGCUUGGUAGAGGCCUUCACCCCUGGGUGGGAAAGACCAUGGAUGGCGUCAAAAACGCGGUUGGCCAGUGGAGACGUCGCAGAGGAGUGUAAAGCGCCCAGUAUACUCGACGCACUCGAGCUGUUGCGCGACAACGUGACGUCAAAAUGACAUAGAUCUCGCUGGCGCGCCAGGAUUUUGG